UUUCCGUAGGUGAACCUGCGGAAGGAUCAUUAUUGUAUAACCGAGGUGCGAGAGCUGUCGCUGACCCGAAAGGUCGUGCACGCCCGAGUGCCCUCACACACAUCCAUCUCACCCCUAUGUGCACCACCGCGCGGGUCCCCCUUUGGCUUGUUCGGAGGGGGGCUUACGUUUUCACACAAACUUUGUAUGCAGUGUAGAAUGUAUUUUUUGUUUUUGCGAUCACGCAAUCAAUACAACUUUCAACAACGGAUCUCUUGGCUCUC
rnacentral:misc_RNA from 1 species